GAUGAACGCUGGCGGCGUGCCUAACACAUGCAAGUCGAGCGAACAGACGAGGAGCUUGCUCUGCUUACGUUAGCGGCGGACGGGUGAGUAAUACGUGGGUAACCUACCUUUAAGUCUGGGAUAACCUCGGGAAACCGGAUCUAAUACUGGAUAAUACAUUUCACCGCAUGGUUCAAUAGUGAAAGACGGUUUUGGUUUUUCUUUUAGCUGACUCCGUGUCGCAUUAGUUAGUUGGUAAGGUAACGGCUUACCAAGGCAACGAUGCGUAGCCGACCUGGUAGACGGGUCGGCCACACGAGAACGGGGACGGGGACCAGGCUCCUACGGGAGGCAGCAGUAGGGAAUCUGACGCAAUGGGCGAAAGCAUGACGGAGCAAGGCGGAGUGAGAGAUGAAGGUGUUCGGUUCGUAAUGCUGUGUUAUUGGGGAAAAACAACUGUGUGAGUGAAAAAGGCGGUCUUGACGGUACCUAAACAAGAAGCCACGGCUAACUACGUG
rnacentral:rRNA from 1 species